CCAAAGAACUUGGAGGAUUCAACCAACCCCGAUGGCCAUUUAGGAUUUCCAAAUCUAGAGAUGCUAGAACUCGAGGGCUGCAAUCUAUCAGAAGUAGACUUCCUUGAGAGCCCUUCCAUUUUCCCAAAUUGAAAACCCUAUAUCUUUC